rnacentral:rRNA from 1 species
AUUGAACGCUGGCGGCAUGCCUUACACAUGCAAGUCGAACGGUAACGCACCUUCGGGUUCCGCCGAGUGGCGCACGGGUGCGUAAUACAGCGGAACGUACCCGAUCGUGGUGGUUAGCGGGGCAAAAGCUUUGCUAAUACCGCAUACGAUCUCAUGCUUACAGCCGGGGACCGCAGGGCCUUUCCCGGCCUGGGCCGCCGAUGGCAGAUUAGGUAGUUGGUGGGAUAAAAGCUUACCAAGCCGACGAUCUGUAGCUGGUCUGAGAGGAUGAUCAGCCACACUGGAACUGAGACACGGCCCAGACUCCUACGGGAGGCAGCAGUGGGGAAUUUUGGACAAAGGGCGCAAGCCUGAUCCAGCCAUGCCGCGUGCAGGAUGAAGGCCUUCGGGUUGUAAAGUGCUUUUGUACGGAAAGAAAAGCAGUCUUUUAAUACAGGAGGGUCAUGACGGUACCGAAAGAAUAAGCACCGGCUAACUACGUG